rnacentral:sRNA from 1 species
ACCAACCCCUAGUUAUCCAUGAAACCUAUUCUAGUGCUCAGGCUCGGGUUCAGCCACGCUUUUUUUUUGCCUCUCCUCUUAUUCCAAGCGCGCUAGCUUUUCGAGAGGACCCACUGCGGUGGAUCAUAGAAGCUGAUGGCCGCGUGCAGAGGCCUGGGCCCCUGGCAGAAACUAGCUCAGCCAGUGAGCUUGAUGCCAUACCGGGGUCAUGAUACGUGGAUUCUUCUAAAAACUGUGCCCGGGAUCAGAGAAGAUUCUUCAAGCCGUUCAACG